CACGUAGGGUGCGAGCGUUGUCCGGAAUUAUUGGGCGUAAAGAGCUCGUAGGCGACCUGUUGCGUCCGCUGUGAAAGCCCCGGGGCUUAACCCCGGGUCUGCAGUGGAUACGGGCAGGCUAGAGGUAGGUAGGGGGAGAAUGGAAUUCCCGGUGUAGCGGUGAAAUGCGCAGAUAUCGGGAGGAACACCGGUGGCGAAGGCGGUUCUCUGGGCCUUACCUGACGCUGAGGAGCGAAAGCGUGGGGGAGCGAA
rnacentral:rRNA from 1 species